UGUGGGCUGGGGCUGUGGUAGAGCUCAUGCCUUGCAUGCAUGAGGCACUGGGUUCGAUCCUCAGCACCACAU
rnacentral:tRNA from 1 species